UACGUAGGGUGCAAGCGUUGUCCGGAUUUAUUGGGCGUAAAGAGCUCGUAGGCGGUGUGUCGCGUCGGCCGUGAAAACCUGCAGCUUAACUGUGGGCUUGCGGUCGAUACGGGCAUCACUGGAGUUCGGCAGGGGAGACUGGAAUUCCUGGUGUAGCGGUGAAAUGCGCAGAUAUCAGGAGGAACACCGGUGGCGAAGGCGGGUCUCUGGGCCGAUACUGACGCUGAGGAGCGAAAGCGUGGGUAGCGAACAGG
rnacentral:rRNA from 1 species